rnacentral:rRNA from 1 species
GAGUUUGAUCUUGGCUCAGAAUGAACGCUGGCGGCAUGCCUAACACAUGCAAGUCGAACGAAGGCUUCGGCCUUAGUGGCGCACGGGUGCGUAACGCGUGGGAAUCUGCCCUUGGGUUCGGAAUAACAGUUAGAAAUGACUGCUAAUACCGGAUGAUGUCGUAAGACCAAAGAUUUAUCGCCCAAGGAUGAGCCCGCGUAGGAUUAGCUAGUUGGUGGGGUAAAGGCCCACCAAGGCGACGAUCCUUAGCUGGUCUGAGAGGAUGAUCAGCCACACUGGGACUGAGACACGGCCCAGACUCCUACGGGAGGCAGCAGUGGGGAAUAUUGGACAAUGGGCGAAAGCCUGAUCCAGCAAUGCCGCGUGAGUGAUGAAGGCCUUAGGUUGUAAAGCUCUUUUACCCGGGAUGAUAAUGACAGUACCGGAGAAUAAGCUCCGGCUAACUCGUGCCAGCAGCCGCAGU